rnacentral:lncRNA from 1 species
UUUUUUUUGGUGCUGUCCUAUGGUGCCCUCCGUCUCGCGCAAACGUGAGGGGCCCCACUGUAGGGUGUUGCAAUAUGUUCAUAGUUCGCUUACGGUGGGUUGCGAGAGUGACAGAAACUUAAACCCGAGUAACUGGGGUACGACGUAUGGGAGUAAAGAGGACUUGAUACUUGAUGGUAUUGUUGGGUUUCACGACCUUAAUGAUCUUUUGUAGUUGCGGAUGCUUGCUAGAGUUCCAAUCAUAAGUGCAUAUGAUCCAAGUAGAGAAAGUAUGUUAGCUCAUGCCUCUCCCUCAUAUAAAAUUGCAAGAAUGAUUACCGCUACUUGUUAUUGAUUGCCUAGGGACAAAUGACUUUAUUGUUGACAAAAGCUAUCCACUUUUAUUACCUUGCAAUUUAUUCGUAGUUUUAUUCCCGCAAAGUACUCGUAGAUUUAUUCUUACCCAAUAAUUCCAUACUUGUUUCCGGUAAAGCAAACGUCAAGUGUGCGUAGAGUUGUAUCGGUGGUCGAUAGAACUUGAGGGAAUAUUUGUUCUACCUUUAGCUCCUCGUUGGGUUCGACACUCUUACUUAUCAAAAGAGGCUACAAUUGAUCCCCUAUACUUGUGGGUUAUCAAGAUGCAGCAUUGGUGAAUGUGGCAUGGUGAGUAGGGCCGAAGAGAUCCAUGUGAAGCAAUUCAAAUGGAUGAGUGGCAGUCAUGAUAGUCUUUGAGGGAUGCUUGGACUUGGUCAUCUUUCCAGAUUCACAAGCUCCACACAGAUGGUCCUUGAGGAAUUUGACACCCUCGAUGCCAAUGACAUGCUUCUUCUUCGCGAGUGUGUGCAAGUUCCUCAUGCCAGCAUGACCUAGUCGUCGAUGCCAUAACCAGCCUUCUGAAGCUUUUGCAAGUAGACAUGUGGCAGGCUGAUGUCCUGUAGAGAAAUCAACAAUAUACAAGUCUCCUCUCCUAAAGCCUUCGAAGACUUUGGAAUGGUCAGAUCCCAUGAUCACAACACAACGAUACUUGCCAAAGACAACAACCAUAUGAAGAUCACAAAGCAUUGAGACAGACGUGAGGUUGUAUCCUAAGGACUCGACAAGCAUGAAUUUGUCCAUGUGUCGAUCCUUUGAUAUCGCAACCCUACCUAGACCCAAUACCUUGCUUUUGCCUUUGUCGGCGUAGGUGAUAUGCUUCAGAUGUGAUGGAGAUAAAGCAGUGUCCAUCAAUAAGUUCCUGUCACCGGUCAUGUGAUUUGUACAUCCACUGUCGAGGACCCACUCAGUAGCUUUGGGUUGAUCAUCCUGCAGAUGAAUUAGUGCAACUUACAAACUCAUAUACUUCAUGAGUGAAGAAUAUGCCAUCAAAUUCAUUAGAUUGAAUUUCAUCAAGCAGUACAACAGAUAUAGCAGUAUAAGGGUGUGAGAAAUGAAUAUUCAUUUAUUCAUGAUUAGCUUGCGUCCUUUCAAGCAUAUUCAGGUCUCCAGCAAAUUCUUCAGACGAUUAAGUUUGUCUAGAGACCUGACCCUGCAUAAGAGAUUAGUUCUUUUUCUUCACCACCCACAUCUGGAGGGGUGGCAAAGAGUUCAUCAUUCUACGAGCUCCAUGAGAAAAAGGUGGCAUAGAAGCUAGUCCACUACAUUUCACGGAAUAGGGGUUAGAGUAAUUAAGCAUAUGAAUAAGCAGAGAAAUUCUUAGAGGACUUAUGAACAUAAUGAUUUGAAGAAUGAUGCACAUAUUCAUAGCCCAUGGGCUUUCCUGCGAAACAGAAGUGUUAGCACGAUAAUGUUCAUAUGAGGAUUUGGAUCCAUAUGAGGAAUUUGAUCCACGUGAGGAAUUUGGUCCAUAUGAGGACUUGGAUCCAUAUGAAGACUUUGGUCCAUGUGACGCCCUCGAUUCAAUCGUACACUAAUCAUACACGCAAAUGUGUACGAUCAAGAUCAAGGACUCACGGGAAGAUAUCACAACACAACUCUAGACACAAAUUAAAAUAAUACAAACUUUAUAUUACAAGCCAGGGGCCUCGAGGGCUCGAAUAAAUAAGCUUGAAUACACAAGAGUCAGCGGAAGCAACAAUAUCUGAGUACAGACAUGAGUUAGACAAGUUUGCCUUAAGAAGGCUAGCACAAAAGCAACAACGAUCGAAAAGGCAAGGCCUCCUGCCUAGGAGCCUCCUAACUACUCCUGGUCGUCGGCAGCCUCCACGUAGUAGUAGGCACCCUCAGUGUAGUAGCAGUCAUCGUCGAAGGUGGCUUCUGGAUCCUGGGCUCCACCAUCUGGUUGCAGCAUCCGGGAAGAAUGGAAAGAGGUGGAAAAAGGGGAUCAAAGCAACCGUGAGUACUCAUCCAAAGUACUCGCAAGCAAGGAUCUACACUACAUAUGCAUCGGUGUCAAAGAAAUGGGUAGUAUAUGUGGACUGAACUGCAGAAUGCCAGAAGAGAAGGGGAAAGCCUAGCCUAUCGAAGACUAGCAUCUUCUGGAAAUCACCAUCUUGCAGCAACAUGAGGGAGUAGAGUAGCAUAAAGUAAAGUAGUAGAAGUAUUAUCAACCUCGGCCAGAGAUCCUUUCUCGACUCCCUGCGAGAAAGCAAUCCCAGAGCCAUACUAUCCAGUUCUCAUCUCCAUUUCUCAUAUCCAUUUCUCAUCUCAGGUAUCCAGUUCUAGUUGUAUCGAUCGGGAUACAACUCCAAGUGUCCGUUACCGUAGGACAGGCUAUCGAAAGAUGUUUUCUUCCCUGCAGGGGUGCACCAACUUACCCACCACGCUCGAUUAACUCUGGCCGGACACACUUUCUUGGGUCAUGCCCGGCCUCGGCCAAAAAAUACGCCGCAACCCGACCUAGGCUUAAUAGAGAGGCCAGCACGUCGGACUAAACCUAUGCCCCCAGGGGUCAUGGGCCAUCGCCCCGGGAACUCCUGCAUGUUGCGAACGUGGCCGAUGAGCAGACCUAGCUACCUCCUUAAAAAAGGCAGGUGCUUACCAGUCCAACCCGGCGCGCGCCGCUCAGUCGCUGACGUCUAUUAAGCUUCGGCUGAUGCAUACUACGCAGAACGCCCAUACUAUGCCCACGUGAUGGUUAGUGCUAUCAGGCCAGAGGCCCCUCGGAUCAAAUAUCCAAAUCAUAGUGGAUUAGGAGCACGCGGUAACAAGCAGAGACUCACGAAAGAUGUGACCCCGUUGCCCCGUCUCGAGGACUUGCGGCAAGGGCUAGGAAUGUCCGGCCAUGCCUCAUAAUUAUCUCGCGGGCACCCUCCAGGUCAACCCGUCUCCACAUCACUCGCGGGUACCCCUCAGGGUCGACCCGCCUUCCAAGUAGCAGUGGUAAAGUCCAAGUAUCCGUGUGUCCAAACAUCAAGGGGAAAACCCGAGGAAUCACCCCCGGCAAAUUCCACUCGGUGUAAUCAUCAUGGUGAACGUAGGAGGAACCACCCACGAGGUUCACACUUGAGGGGUUGCACGACAGAGUCAUAUCGGAAGUGGUUAAGGCGGAAUCACCCCCGAUGACCACGACCGAAUAGCUACACUAUAGGGUUAACAUUAGAAGUGUUGUAGAGGUCUCACCCUCGGCACUCGAUAGUAACCUAGUAGUGUCGAGCAACUAAGGGGAAAGUGAUGUGCGGUGCCGGGGCCUGGUCUUCGAUCCCGUUGAUCGGGUCUUCAAUGUUGAAGCAGGGGCAACAAGGACAAGGUGGGGGUCACUGAUGGAUCACUAACCAACCUAUACUAAGCAGUUUAGGAUAAGCAGGUAGGUAACAAUGAGCAGGUUACAAAAGCAGGAUAUGCAUCAGAAUAGGAGCAAACAAUAACAGCAGCAAAAUCUAAUGCAAGCAUGAGAGAAUGGAAUGGGCGAUAUCGGGAUGAUCAAAGGGGGGGCUUGCCUGGUUGCUCAGACGAGAAGGAGGAGUCGUCGUCGAUCACAGGGGCAGCAUCGGUCUCGGGGUCUACCAGAGAGAAGAGGGGGAAGAAACAGUAAAUAUAAAGCAAACAUAGCAUCACAAAGCAUAACGUGGCAAUAUGUUGUGCCGCGUGUGGCCUAACAUAUGGCUACACGAUAUAGGUGAAGGGGGAAAUCAACCGGGAACGUAUUCCCGGUUCCGGACUUGUGUCAGACAGAUGACCGGAGGGGAAAUGUUCCAUGUGCAGAUAGUUAGAGGCGUCUGACAGGUAAACGGACCGCGCAUCCGGAUUCGUUGGAUUUUUCUGAGCAACUUUCAUGUAGAAAACAUUUUCAUCCGGGUUACGGUUUAUUUUCUAUGAAUUUUCAAAGAUUAAAGUAUUUUCUAGAAGGGAUAAUUAAUUUGGUGCCCUUAGUUGUGUCCCACUCGGCAGGUUUACCCCUAGUUUCCGAAAACACUUGUUCCUGCCCAAACCACUUUGCUCCUCUUAUGCUUUUGCCCUUUGACCGUUUGACCAUCAAUUUGAAAACUUCAUAAAAAAUUCAUACUAACUCAGAAAAAUUCAAAUAAGAUAUCAAAAUAUUCAAAAAAGCAUCACCUAUAUGUGCAUGUCACUUGCAUUCAUGAAAAAAGUGUUGGCCAGUCCCCAUCUCAGUUUUAGCUCAUAUGAUCUUAGCAUGAAUAGUAAAAUCUGAAAAAAAUUCAAAAAAUUCUAAAUUUUUUUGGUGGCAAACUUUGACCAAUGUUUUGAGUGCUUGCCAAGUUUCAUAAGGGAAUGGAAUUCGUGGAAGUUGUGGUAAAAAUGGAAUUUUGGAGCAUUGAUUUUUUUUCCAUGACUUCCACGAAUGUCACUCCCUUAUGAAACUUGGCAAGCCCUCAAAACAUUGGUCAAAGUUUGCCACCAAUUUUUUUAGAAUUUUUAGAUUUUUUUUAUAUUUUACUGUUCAUGCUAAGAUCAUAUGAGUUAAAAUUGAGAUGGGGAUUGGCCAACACUUUUUUCAUGAAUGCAAAUGACAUUUACAUUUAGGUGAUGAUUUUCUAAAUAUUUUGAUAUCUUAUUUGAAUUUUUUUGAGUUAGUAUGGAUUUUAUAUGAAGUUUUCAAAGUGAUGGUCAAACGGUCAAAGGGCAAAAGCAUAAGAGGAACAAAGUGGUUUGGGCAGGAACAAGUGUUUUCGGAAACUAGGGGUAAACCUGCCGAGUGUGACCCAACUAGGGGCAUAAAAUCAAUUAUCCCUUUCUAGAAUUAUUCAAAAUAACAGAAAUGGAAUAUGACAUCAGCAUGACAUCAGCAAUGCGUCAGCAUUCGGCUGACCUGCUGACUGGUCAAACUGAUAGGUGGGGCCCACCUGUCAGCCCCUCUGGGUUAAAUAGUGGGUUAAACUAAUCUAACACACUGAUUAGAGGGGUGGGCCCCAAGUCAGUGACUAACUAACUACUAAUUAAAUACCAGAUUUUAACUAGUAGUUUUAUUUAUUUAUAAAACGUUUUAAACAAGUGGGGCCCACACGUCAGUCUCACUAGGCAGCCCAGUCAGCAGUUGACCAGCUCAAGCCAGUCAACUGGGCCACCAGGGCCCACUGGUCAGCGACCCAGGGGCGGGGCCCACUGGUCAGCGACCCAGGGGCGGGGCCCACUAUGUCACGUUGGCGUCGGCGCCGGAGAGAGCUCCGGCGACCAAGGCAACGGCGGCGCCUCGCCGGAGUUGGCCGGGGUCGCGCUACAGGGUGCCUCCGGACCUGCGGGACCUAAGGGCGCGGCCCAGCACCGCGCACACGAUGGUGACGACGACCGGCGUUGGGGACGACCGGAGCAUCGCCGGCGGCGAGCGGAGGCGGCAGCGGCGUUUGGGAGCACGUCGGGAAAAAGCCUACGGGGUGGUUAAAACGAGCGUUGUGAUGCGCGUUCGAAUGAGGGGAGCCGCACGCAUCCAACGCCGGCGGUCCCGCGUGCUGGGAUGGCCUAGAGCCACGGCAGCGCCGACCAGAGCGGCGCCGGAGUUCGGACGUCGAUGGAUUCGAACGUCCAGGGCACGGCAAGGGUGGCAGAGGGGCGCAUUGAGCAACUAGGAGCUCCAGGAGCUCGGUGGUGGUGUUAGCGCGGCGCGAGGAGCAUAAGGCGACGACAAUGAGCUCAACGGCGGAGCUCGGCUCGGCCAUGGCGGGUCCAGCCGCUCCGGGCGCAUACGGAAGCAAAACAGAGGGGGAGGAGUGUAGCUCACAGCGAGCCUGCAGAUGUGCUCAGUGGGCUCGGGGGAGGUGCGAGAUGGCCGAAUUCGACGCCGGCGUUCGUCGGAGCAGAGGAGGAAGGAGAGGUCGCUGUGCUCGUUGUGGGGGCUCCUGGCUUGGUCCGGUGGUCGAGGAACACUUCGCGGGGCACGACGGCGCUCAGGGACUCGUCGGAGAGGGACGGGGACAGCAGUGGCCGCGGUCAGCACGGCGGACGGCGCAGGGCGCGUCGGCGAGGCGGAUCUGGAGGAGGGGGAGCGAGUGUGCGAGGGGAUAGGGACUGGCGCGAGUGGGGGGAGGCAGGGCAAGUGGGAGGCGAGGGGGGCGAGGCGUCGGGGCGGUGGAGGCCUUAUCCUCUCGUCGGGCGUUGCCAGGGAGGUGGUUGGAUGGCGACCGCGCCCGUGGUCGCUCGAACAGGAAGGCGACCCGGGGAGCGUGGGAGGCUGGGCUGGCUCGGGUGGGUUAGGUGGGCCGGCCCAGGGAGGGGGUUGCUCUCUCUCUCUCUCUCUUCUGCUUUUCCUUUUCUUUUUCUUUAAUUACCAGAGAAGGAAAAUGAUUUAUCUGGGGACCCUAAUGAUUUAGCAAAAAUGUGGAACUGGAUCAUAAAAGUCCAGUGCAUUUUUAGGCACUGCCACAAUUAUUUUUGGGAGAGGUUUAGAUUCAUUUGGAAUUUUCAUAAAUGAAUUUGCAUUUUAAAUUGCUGGAAUGGCACUGUUAUAAAUGUUAGUGUCCAUUUUAGCAUAGUAGUGAUGUUGUUUUUAUUUACAUCAAAUUGUAGUGGAAUAUUUGCUAAAUGAUGAACAUUUUUCCAGCAACUUUUGUGCAACUUCAAAUUUCACUUAUGAUUUUAAUUUGAAUUCAGAUAGGAGUUGAAAAGAGAUAUUGAACAAAGGUGAAUAAGCAUUCUUUAGCCAAUGAUUAGGCUUAAUCACAGAGGGUUAUUGUAGCAUGACACUGGGGGUGUUACAAAUCUCCUCCACUACAAGAAAUCUCGUUCCGAGAUUUAAGUGGGGAAGUAAAGAGUAACUUCGGGAGAACUGACCCUUUUAGGGUUAAUUAUCUAGUGAACAAUUCAGGGAAUGUGGCAGAAGUAUCUCUCGAGUUGAAACUUAAGAAAACAUCAAGAGCAAAAUAUGAAGGUACAAUAGGGAGUUUCAAGCGAAUAGACAAACGAUCGAUACCUGAACAGAGUGUGAGAAGGGGGUUCAGAGCAUCGGGAAUAGAUCAUCUGUCGGACGGUGGCUCGUGACAGCACACAAAGCCAAGAGCAAAUGAUACUUCGGAAUAAAGGAUAUACAGGAGAGUCGGGUUCCAAUCCUGCGGAACUGUGGGUUAUGAGCCCACCAUGUGGGUUAAAAGUAGAAAGGGGGCCGAUAGAAAGGCAUGUCAGAUGAUAGAGUAUCAAUUAUGUUGUCAACAACGUUGGUACCAAGGGCGAGGGACGGAGAGAACUAUCUUCCUGCUCGUUGAACGAGUCGGACCAAUAGGCAAAGUUCUCGUCCAUCGGUGGCUACCGAAAUGUCAUCAACUAUAGUAACAGGGUCUUACUGACACGGUUCUACACCAAGGUAUUUACAUAAGCAGAAAAAAAUUACUGCUUAGAUCAUAUAGAUCACAAGAAAGGUUAAACAAAACAAUGGGAAGGAAAAGGCGUUUACCAGAAUAAACAGAACAAUGGAAAGGAAAAAUGUGUUUAAACACAUAUUUCAAGGGUAUAUCCUUCCCAAGGACAAGCAGAUCAUGAUAUCCAUGACAGGAUAUAAUGUAGAAAACUCUUUAGGUAAGGGGAGAGAAAUUCCAUGAUAUUACCCAUACAACGGUGUUUGGAUAAUAGAUCAAGAAACAUUCGACAAUGUGCUUCCAAUGUUCUUGUUUAUAUGUGGAAUACCUCAGUCAUGCUUCGAGGUAGCAUUAACAUGGUGUUACACGUAGGGGUUGGAGUUGAAGAUCACAAGAAAUACUCAAGGAACAAUUGCAGGACUAGCAAGGAGUCCAAGGUAUAACCAAGACAUGAUCAAACAUGUGUUGGAAAGAAGACAAGGGAGUUGUCGAUGAUAACUCAAAUCAUCAAAGGUAAAGGAUGGUAUAUCUCAUCACCAAUCCAAUUGAUAUGCUAGAAGAGCUCAGAAUGUUGACGAGCACAACACAAUUGUCGAGAGAUUUCAGGAAGAUGUAAUUGAUCGGCGAUGACAUCAAGUCAAAGGAAUGAUGAAGCGAAAAGUUAUUGGAACCACGGGUAUGACACAAACUCGAUAGCAAGCUUGCUGUUCAAGGCGAAAUGGUAUGACGAGGAAGAUCGACAUAAGCUUAGCUCAUCGUCAAAAAUUCGGUUCCGGGAAGACGGACCAGGUAGCACAGUUAAAAUUUAGCACGAUAAUGACAUAGCCGGCCAGACUAGGAAUGACUUGAAGGAUUAUUAAACUCGUAAGUAAUGAAAAUUACUUAGAGUUAUAGAAUCGGAGUGCGGAAUUGAUUCAACCGAUUCACUUAUCAGUGUCCUUGAGUGAUUAAUAACUCAGAUCCCGGGGGAAAUCUGAAAUCGGUGAGAAGCAAUACUAGAUGAAGACUCAUAGGAAGCAACACAGUUCUUUGAUAUUCUUGAGGUACCGGAGGGUAAUACUCGAAGGAAGAUCAAAAUAGAGGUUGCGGAGCUGCAUUGAUCUGCAGAAGACAAGUGCUUUAACUUGUCUGAGAAAUGGAAUUAAAGGGGGAACAAUCAUGGUCAGAACCACGGUUGCAAAGGACCAAACAUAGAUACCGUAUGAACUUAUAAUAAGGGGAUUAUUAUAUCACAAGAAGCUUCCAUGAUAAGAUCCACAUUAGGUCCAUGGGCAUGAACACAAAGUUCAAGGUUGACUCCCACUUCUCCAAUGCAUAACCUUUCAUUCACUUCUCGCGUUCAAUGAAGUUGUAGUGUUGAAAUGUUAUCUGGCAAAACACCAGAAGAGUAUGACUCGUGAAAACUCUCAGGUUCACAUGGAUUAAGUAAGGCAUAGGUUCAACCCAUAGGGGCAUCUUGGGAACAUAUACCACAAACUCCACGAGUAAAAUAACACAAGCUCGAAGGCAGAGCAUGGUUGAGAAGGCAGAGGAUAUAAUUUACCAAAGGCUUUAUGUAUCUGAGGAAAGGCUCCAAGAGGUUAUUGAAUAUGAAGGACGUUGUCAGAUAAAAUCCAACAAAGGAUCUGGCGGUCCACAUUGGAUCUGAUGUGAGUAUCGGUACUCCACCAGAAGAAGAAAGAAUGCGAAGGCUUCGGAUUAUAGAAACAUCUGAAUAAUUCAAUGCUUUAAAUGCAAAGAAAUCAUGAUUUCAAAAAUAGAAGAUCAGAAGCAGACGCUCUGAUCAAAAGAUAAGUAAGUUGAAUAGCCCUAGGGAUACAAUUGACGACAAUUUGAUUGGUCGAGAAACAACUCUUGGUCAAAUGAUGUCCAAGCCGGAAGGAUGAAUUCUAUGAUCCGACUGAGGAUUGCGAGCAUCCACAACAUAUUGAAUCAACAGACUCAAAUGAUAAUGACAAAGGAUGCCAAUAAGAUUACUAUACUUAUGGGAUUUAACCAUAAUGCAAGCAAGCAAGAAUUUCAAGAGCAAUAAGCUGCUAAGGAUUUUCGGAAGAUCGAAUAGGAUUUUGAAGAUUUUUGUGAAACACUCAAACAACUGGGGAUGAAGAAUCUUCGGUAAUUGAGAGGAAUUAUUCGUAGGGGUAUUCAUGUGCCAAAGAACUUCAAGGCAAUUGCAGAAGGGGUUCUCGGGACAAUGGAGAGUAUUUCGGGGCAUCUUUUAGAAACAAGAGCAACUAGGGACAAAGGUAUGAACGGCAACUGUAUGUACUUAUCCAUAAGGAUAUAUCGGUGGCAGGGAAUUGCAAAGGCGGUGGGCACAAGGGUCUUGGGAAAACAUCAAAGAGUAUCUUCGGAAUCUUCUGAUGAAGCAGACAAUCAUCUGGAAUGAAGGGGCUCUCCAGUAGGAAGUGGUUACGAGAACCUAAAGUUAGAGUUAGUAAAGUCUUUAACCCAAAUAGAAGAGAGAUCAGAAUCUCAGAGUAUAGACGAGGAAUAAAAGAUCCUAAUACCACCCAAUGGAGACGUGGGCCCGUAAGACACACAGCCAAUGUUAGUAAAAAAAAUUGUAGUGACUAGACUCGACUUUGGCCAAGGAGUUGGAAAGGGGGCUACCUACAGGCAGUCGGCUCUGAUACCAACUUGUGACGCCCUCGAUUCAAUCGUACACUAAUCAUACACACAAAUGUGUACGAUCAAGAUCAAGGACUCACAGGAAGAUAUCACAACACAACUCUAGACACAAAUUAAAAUAAUACAAGCUUUAUAUUACAAGCCAGGGGCCUCGAGGGCUCGAAUACAUAAGCUCGAAUACACAAGAGUCAGCGGAAGCAACAAUAUUUGAGUACAGACAUGAGUUAGACAAGUUUGCCUUAAGAAGGCUAGCACAAAAGCAACAACGAUCGAAAAGGCAAGGCCUCCUGCCUGGGAGCCUCCUAACUACUCCUGGUCGUCGGCGGCCUCCACGUAGUAGUAGGCACCCUCAGUGUAGUAGCAGUCGUCGUCGAAGGUGGCGUCUGGAUCCUGGGCUCCACCAUCUGGUUGCAGCAUCCGGGAAGAAUGGAAAGAGGUGGAAAAAGGGGAGCAAAGCAACCGUGAGUACUCAUCCAAAGUACUCGCAAGCAAGGAUCUACACUACAUAUGCAUCGGUGUCAAAGAAAUGGGUAGUAUAUGUGGACUGAACUGCAGAAUGCCAGAAGAGAAGGGGAAAGCCUAGCCUAUCGAAGACUAGCAUCUUCUGGAAACCACCAUCUUGCAGCAGCAGGAGGGAGUAGAGUAGCAUAAAGUAAAGUAGUAGAAGUAUUAUCAACCUCGGCCAGAGAUCCUUUCUCGACUCCCUGCGAGAAAGCAAUCCCAGAGCCAUACUAUCCAGUUCUCAUCUCCAUUUCUCAUAUCCAUUUCUCAUCUCAGGUAUCCAGUUCUAGUUGUAUCGAUCCGGAUACAACUCCAAGUGUCCGUUAGCGUAGGACAGGCUAUUGAUAGAUGUUUUCUUCCCUGCAGGGGUGCACCAACUUACCCACCACGCUCGAUUAACUCCGGUCGGACACACUUUCUUGGGUCAUGCCCGGCCUCGGCCAAACAAUACGCCGCAACCCGACCUAGGCUUAAUAGAGAGGUCAGCACGCCGGACUAAACCUAUGCCCCCAGGGGUCAUGGGCCAUCGCCCCGGGAACUCCUGCACGUUGCGAACGCGGCCGGUGAGCAGACCUAACUACCUCCUUAAAAAAGGCAGGUGCUUACCAGUCCAACCCGGUGCGCGCCGCUCAGUCGCUGACAUCUAUUAAGCUUCGGCUGAUGCAUACGACGCAGAACGCCCAUACUAUGCCCACGUGAUGGUUAGUGCUAUCAGGCUAGAGGCCCCUCGGAUCAAAUAUCCAAAUCGUAGUGGAUUAGGAGCACGCGGUAACAAGCAGAGACUCACGAAAGAUGUGACCCCGUUGCCCGGUCUCGAGGACUUGUGGCAAGGGCUAGGAAUGCCCGGCCACGCCUCGUAAUUAUCUCGCGGGCACCCUCCAGGUCAGCCCAUCUCCACAUCACUCGCGGGUACCCCUCAGGGUUGACCCGCCUUUCCAAGUAGCAGUGGUAAAGUCCAAGUAUCCGUGUGUCCAAACAUCAUAGGGAAAACCCAAGGAAUCACCCCCGGCGAAUUCCACUCGAUGUAAUCAUCAAGGUGAACGUAAGAGGAACCACCCACGAGGUUCACACUUGAGGGGUUGCAUGACAGAGUCGUAUCGGAAGUGGUUAAGGCGGAAUCACCCCCGAUGACCACGACUAAAUAGCUACACUACAGAGUUAACAUUAGAAGUGUUGUAGAGGUCUCACCCUCGGCACUCGAUAGUAACCCAGUAGUGUCGAGCAACUAAGGGGAAAGUGAUGUGCGGUGCCGGGGCCUGGUCUUCGAUCCCGUUGAUCGGGUCUUCAAUGAUGAAGCAGGGGCAACAAGGACAAGGUGGGGGUCACUGAUGGAUCACUAACCAACCUAUACUAAGCAGUUUAGGAUAAGCAGGUAGGUAACAAUGAGCAGGUUAUAAAAGCAGGCUAUGCAUCAGAAUAGGAGCAAACAAUAACAGUAGAAAAAUCUAAUGCAAGCAUGAGAGAAUGGAAUGGGCGAUAUCGGGAUGAUCAAAGGGGGGGCUUCCCUGGUUGCUCAGACGAGAAGGAGGGGUCGUCGUCGACGUAGUCGAUCACAGGGGCAGCAUCGGUCUCGGGGUCUACUGGAGAGAAGAGGGGGAAGGAACAGUAAAUAUAAAGCAGACAUAGCAUCACAAAGCAUAACGUGGCAAUAUGUUGUGCCGGGUGUGGCCUAACGUAUGGCUACAUGAUAUAGGUGAAGGGGGAAAUCAACCGGGAAUGUAUUCUCGGUUCCAGACCUGUGUCAGACAGAUGACCGGAGGGGAAAUGUUCCAUGUGCAGAUAGUUAGAGGCGUCUGACAGGUAAACGGACCGCGUAUCCGGAUUCGUUGGAUUUUUCUGUGCAACUUUCAUGUAGAAAACAUUUUCAUCUGGGUUACGGUUAUUUUCUAUGAAUUUUCAAAGAUUAAAGAAUUUUCUGGAAUUAUUCAAAAUAACAUAAAUGGAAUAUGACGUCAGCAAUGCGUCAGCAUUCGAUUGACCUGCUGACUGGUCAAACUGACAGGUGGGGCCCACCUGUCAGCCUCUCUGGGUUAAAUAGUGGGUUAAACUUAUCUAACAGACUGAUUAGAGGGGUGGGCCCCAAGUGUCAGUGACUAAGUCACUACUAAUUAAAUAACAGAUUUUAACUAGCAAUUUUAUUUAUUUAUAAAAUGUUUUCAACAAGUGGGGCCCACACGUCAGUCUCACCGGGCAGCCCAGUCAGCAGUUGACCGGCUCAAGCCAGUCAACUGGGCCACCAGGGCCCACUGGUCAGCGACCCAGGGCGGGGCCCACUAUGCCACGUUGGCGUCGGCGCCGGAGAGAGAGCUCCGGCGACCAAGGCAACGGCGGCGCCUCGGCGGAGUUGGCCGGGGCCGCGCUACAGGGGACCUCCGGACCUGCGGCUUGGACCUAAGGGCGCGGCCCGUCGCCGCGCACACGAUGGUGACGACGACUGGCGUCGAGGACGACCGGAGCAUCGCCGGCGGCGAGCGGAGGCGGCAGCGGCGUUCGGGAGCGCGUCGAGAAAAAGCCUGCGGGGCGGUUAAAACAAGCGUUGUGACGCGCGUUCGGACGAGGGGAGCCGCACGCAUCCAAUGCCAGCGGUCCGCGUGCUGGGAUGGCCUAGAGCCACGGCAGCGCCGACCGGAGUGGCGCCGGAGUUCGGACGUUGAUGGAUUCGAACGUCCAGGGCACAGCAAGGGUGGCGGAGGGGCGCGUUGAGCAACUAGGAGCUCCAGGAGCUCGGUGGUGGUGUUAGCGCGGCGCGAGGAGCAUCAGGGCGACGACAAUGAGCUCAAUGGCGGAGCUCGGCUCGGCCAUGGUGGGUCCAGCCGCUCCGGGCGCGUACGGAAGCAAAAGAGAGGGGGAGGAGUGUAGCUCACAGCGAGCCUGCAGAUGUGCUCAGUGGGCUCGGGGGAGGCGCGAGGUGGCCGAAUUCGACGCCGGCGUUCGUCGGAGCAGAGGAGGAAGGAGAGGUCGCCGCGCUCGUUGUGGGGGCUCCUGGCUUGGUCCGGUGGUCGAGGAAGACUUCGCGGGGCACGACGGCGCUCGGGGACUCGUCGGAGAGGGACGGGGACAGCGGUGGCCGUGGUCAGCACGGCGGACGGCGCAGGGCGCGUCGGCGAGGCGGAUCUGGAGGAGGGGCCAACCAAGUAGUGGAGUAGCCAACCAAGUAGUGGAGUAGACAACCAACUAGUGGUUGUAGGGGCGCCUAUUUAUAGCCUAGGGAGGAGCCCGACAUGAUAAGACAUAAAUGUCCUUCAAUGAUAUGACCGUUAGGUGGGUAGAUAUUUUGGGACAGCUGGCGCAUAGCACAACAACGAUCGGAUAUUUGAGCUAUCAAAUUCCUCAGGGCUAUCAUGUUCCUCACCUGUAGGAAAUCCGCACUGGUGAAUUCCUAACUCCUCAGUCAAAACAAAUACCUCAGAGAACAGAAGAUCUUCGUCUCUGUCACUGAAGAAAUUGACUGAACUGUAUGAGAUUUCCAAUGGCUUCACUCGAAAGAAUUGGGUAGGUGUAGGAUUUUGAGAUGAGCAUCACUUAGAAACUUUUCCUUAGUUUUACCUCGGCCCCCUUUAACAGUACAGUGUUUCCUAUGCUCAAGAAAGAGAAAAUGAAACUAUGAAAACAAAAGUCUUCACGCUUCAUAAUCCUCGCAUGAAUAUCAAGUCUUCACGGUCACACCAAUUUCUUCACUUUCAAAGUCUUCAAGAAAACCAAAGUCUUCAGCUGAAGACAUUCAUUUUUAAGGGUCGACUUUCAUCGUAAAUAUCAAACUCCUCAUAGACUUAUAGACCUGUGUACACUCACAAACUCAUUAGUCCCUUAACCUAUAAGUCUUCAAUACACCAAAAUCACUAAGGGACACUAGAUGCACUUACAGGCAGCCUGGUAGGCAGCCUCCGCCGCCUGGUCCUCCUCGCGAACGAUGAGCGGGGGCGGGGGCACAGUGCGGUCGACUUCGCGGACGCCGCGUCGCCUUGCCUCCUCGUGCUCGAAGGUGAACCAGCGCGCCCAGUUGGGCGAGUCGGAUGCGUAGGCGGGGUCGCGGCGCUACUCCGGCGUCUGGAGCGCCCGCCGGCGCCGCACCUCCUCCGCGUGCGCCCUAACCGACCGCGGCGCCGCCGGCACUGGGAUCCUCUCCGGAUCCAGGUGCCAGUCGUGCGGCAGGGUGGCAUCGGGGUACGGGAGAGGCACGCGGUGUUGCCAGUGCCACUCCGCCUGGUGCACCGGCACGUUCACGCGCUGCCUCGGCCGGCGAGCUAGCGCCGGCGGAGGCGGCAGAAACUCCGGGGGGAAAGGAAUGGCGGGCGACUUGCCCUUGGCCUUGCUGCUGCCGGCGCCGGAGAAGAGCCCCAUCUGGGGUGGUUGGGGUGGCUAGGGUGACUAGGGUUUUGCCGGCGACGGGGAAGCGAGUGUGGCUAGAUGGGGACGGGAGCUGGCUGGAAGCGGAUGAGGACGGCCCUGCCGCACGGUCGGCUUAAAAAAGGACGACCGCCGUCGCUGACGCGUGGGCCCGAGAUCAUAAAUUAAGCUGACCAGGUAGGCAGCGGAUAGUUGGACAACCGCCAAAUGGGGACGCGGCGGACACCAAGAAGGCGCAUGGCGUCCGUUCCGCGUCUGCGUCGACGCAUUUGGGGCGCAAAUUUGGGCCGCAAAUGCGUCGGCGCGGAUGCGAAGCGGACUCGAUUUGGGUUUAGGUUGGCGUGUUGGGCCUCCUUUUUUAUCUACGCCGAUCCAAACGGACGGUGGCGGACGAAAUGGGUCGCCCCAUUAAAGUUGCUCUAAGAAGUGAACAUUCGAAUUCCUCCACCUAAGGAAGAAAAGGAAAUUCCUCAACCUAAACUCCGGAAAAAAAAAUCCUCCACCUGAACAAGGCCGUAUAGUAGAUUGAAAAAGAAAAGAAAAAGGCAGCUUCGUCGAGCGUUGGAGACGGCGAUGACGCUGAGAUGACUCACGAUCGAGCUGGGCUCUUAAUCCAGAGUGCGUUGUUGACGGAUUAGAUAUCCCAUCCAGUGGAGUCGUCAUCCGGGUUUUGGAGAUAAGAUGACAUGUAAAGGGUAAUCACCUCCGCAAACCGACGGCACCGAACGUGCGCGUGCGCGCGUUGGAUGGUUGACAAAAGCUACGGGACGCGCGCAAGCCGGCACGGCGGAACGUGGUCAUGUGUUGGUUGGGCGCCUAAAAGGGCAGGGCCGGGACACCGACGAUUCUUCCAUGAUCUUCUUGAGCUUGGAGCCUGGUGGUGGUUAGCAGUGCUUUGACAGCGACGCAGCCGCACCGGCUCCGGUGGCGUCCCCCACCCGGAUCAACCAUGUUUGGGCCGUUCCUCUGCCGCGGAUGGUCCCCAAUAUUCGAAAGGUGCAAACCAUGAAGUAUCAACCAUCGUGCGCAUGUCCCGAACUGACCAUCCCCUUAUAUUCCUAAAUUAGCUGUAUUUCUGAAAUAUAAAAGUAUGCACAUCGGUAUAAUUUGUUAGCGACAGCGAUUGUGGAACUACGGCGUACCGCCGGCUGGUACAAGUCGCCAACACACAAUCGUAUAUUCACCGAACCCACCUCCCUGACCCUUGUCACCGUCCCUAAAUUGACAACAGUAGGUGAGAGGCUGCGAAGCGUUUUUCCUAGGUGAGAGACACAGGAUUGAAGCUCCCCCCUGUUGCAGUUCCCUCGCUGUUGCUGUUUGAAGUCUUCCUGCUCAUCACCUUCCUUCCCCUGCGACCUUACUUUUUCAUGGCCUGUUAAUGCAUCAAAAUUUGGAACUGUACUUGAUACCCUGAGUCUUGUCUUAGGUUCUGCUGCUGCCUCCCUUUCGGAGCCUCGGCAAUAAGUGGAUGGAGGGGUUAAGAGCAUCUCCAGCCGCGCCCCCAACAGACCCCCUCCCCAGGCAAAUUUUUAGCGCCGGUGGUCGAAAAUCGCCCAGUCGCGACUCUAGGAUCUCGUUUAGCGCCGGUUUGGGCGAAAUACAGAGCCGGCGAUCCCGCCCACCCAAGCGGCCGGGUGUCGCCUGGGCGCGCCGGCACAAGCGAAAAGCCGCGUGGGGCCGCUCCGUCGGCGACUGAAGCCCUUUCCCGCCGUUUUCUCCCGCUUUCCCCCUAGGCUCCCCUCUCUUCUCCAUUCCUCCCGCCAAACGCUCGGCUCCUCCUGCCAAACGCUCGCCUCCUCCCGCCAAACGCCCGCCAUGCCGCCGAAGAAGUACGUGAUGCCGCGCGCCAAAGCCAAAGAGACGUACAAGCCGGACGCGCCGACCGCGGGGGCGGUUGACGGGCGACCGGACGGCAACAAAGGUGCCAAGAAGGCGAAAUACGCCGAGUCGGCUGCCUCGCGCGUGCAAGAGUCCAUCGAACACUGCCUCGCCGACGCCAAGACCAGGGCCGCCUAGCGAGAAGAGAAAACUGAGACGAGGUGGGCUGUUUUGAUGACGAACAGCGCCGUCAAACUCGACUUGCUCCGGACCAACGCCGCCGCGGAACUCAAAGCUCAAGACGCGAAGAAGAGGAACAACGACCUCACCUUCUUGAUGGGCGGCGCUGACAUGCUCCAGAGCGGCGACGAGAAGCUCAAGGCGUGGUUUUUGGCGGAGCGCGGCCUCAUCCUGAAUCAGAUACCGGCCACGCCGACGCCGACGCCGCCGCCCAGCACGGCGGCUGAUGACGAUGCCUCCGCGACGCCCAGCCCCACCGACGAUGCCUCCGCCGCGCCCGGCAGCACAGAAGCCACGCCGACCAACCCGGAAGCCGCGCCGACUCCUUCCAGCCCGCGUACGCCGACGACGCCGACGCCGGAGGUUGAGCUCGACGUUUGAUGUACUCCUUCCGCGUCCUUCCUUUUAUGUACGCCGAACUACUGCGUGUCCUUUUAUUUGAUCGCCGAACUGUGGCACUAAAUCGCCGAACUAUGCGAUGAUGGCUUUUCUUUGAACGGGAACGAUGGAGUUCGAAUAUGGGGCGCCUGGGGGCGGCACCUGGGGGCGUGGCUGGGGAAAAACGAACCCCAGGGGCCGAUCUAGCGUUGGCUCGCCCCCAGGCCGCUCUUUUUCGGCGCCCUGGGGGGCCGAACGGCUGGAGAUGCUCUAAGGCAUGUGCACGCAUCUUCGUUGUGUGUGAUGUUUUAGGUCCUUGGGUCAUGCAUCGUCUCAUUAGCAUGAUUGCUUUUCCCUUUUUGGUAUUGAGUCUCUAAGACAUUGUGGUUUCUGAUAUAUAGAAAUCGGAGGGAUCGCUCUCUUUUUCAGAAAAAAAUGAGAGGCCAAUUUUCCGACGGCUCCCAUCUGCCAACGACCACUUGAUCGUCGAUGGUGAGUAGGGUCGUCGGAUCUCGCAUGUGUGGAUCAGCUAGCUUUAGGUUUUAAGGCUCUAGUAACUUAGGUUUUGCGUCGUUCGACGUCUUGACUUAGGCGACGGCGACGACGCGGAAUAAAGAAGCUUCAAUUUUUUUUCAACGAGGCGAUCAACUCUAUUGUCGGUGAUGGUUUUGAGAACUAGCAUGUCCAAGUGGAGAUGUCGUGGCGGCGGCGACAUUCUUGUGGUGAACUUGUGUCCUCGAGCUUCGCAUUGCGACAACAUCUGCUCCAGCACCAACGUGAAGCUUGGGACACCGUCAAGGAGCGGAAGCUGAUGGUGGUAUGCAUCAACGACAUCUGGAAGACGGAUCGUGUGCUUCCUUCGGGGUUGGUGGCUGGCGGUAUGGUUUCCUCCUCCGACGUCUUAGUCCCAGAUCUGGAGUUUGAUGGCGUAUCCGGGAUGUUGCCCUGGUCUGAUUCAUUCAAAGUCAAUGGCUUCGCUAGGUGGUCCACGGACCUGAUUGUAAUUUUUAUUACAUUCGGUGAUCUUUGUACUGUCAUGAUUGAAAAUGAAUAGAUUGAACGUUUCUUGAAAAAAUGUCCUUGCCUUUCGUGAGCCAUCUUGAAGAUCUGUAAACGUGCAUAUCAUAAAUAGAGUCACAUCGAGCUCGGAUGAGGAGGUGAUCCGUCAUUUUUUUCAUUUGGGGCCUGCUCAGGAAGUGCCAGAGGCAGGUGAAGUGUGUUGAUGCCAAGCUCAGGAGAUUCUUCGGUCUUGAUUGUAAUUUUUUUCUUGACUGAUGUUCGUUUGUGCAAAAGCUAGCUAUCUAAUGUUAUUAACGUGACUUGUAAUAUGAUCUUUAUGAUAUAAUUUUGUUUAGAAAUAUAUUUAUGAUAUAAAUGAGACACGUAUUAUCAUGAUAAGUUUUUUGACAACAGUAGACCCUUUUUUCUCCGAGCAAAUAAAGCCGAUGAAUAAUAUGAACGCCGAGGGAGGCGAGCACUGUGGCUGACAGCCUAUGGCAAAGCAAGAAGGCGACGACAGUGGCCCACGUCCGGUCGGAGGCCCAGGUUCCACAUGCUUUCUUCCUUUUUUUUUCUUUUUUGAGGUCAGGGCUAUGCUUAAACCCGUGUCAUCGUCUAUCCUAGCCCGACCCGGCCCGGACCGGCCCAGUGAAAUACUACAUCGACCCACCCCGGCUAGCGUAUCCGCCUUCUCCUUGUCUCCCCGUCGUCGCCGUGGCCGUCCUCCGAUCGAGCCAUGGAUCCGGCUCUUCGGCGCCGCUCCCGCCUCCCUAUCCACCUCCUGCUGGUGGCCGUCACUUUACUCGCCGCCCUGGCCGCGCGAUCCGACGCGGAGGUCAUCACCCUCACCGAAGAGACCUUCUCCGACAAGGUACCGACUGCUUUCCCCUUCUCGUGUCUCCACCCUCUUCCACCUCCUCAUCGAGAUGUAAUAGUAGUAGUACUCUAAGGCACGCCGCAGACCCAAGAACAGCUGAUUCUUCGACUUAUCACUUGGCUACGCUGGGAUGCAGUGUAGCAGGCGGUGUGCUUAGUUACUGACAUGUAGCCGUUUCCCAGAUUUGCUACUGAUUCCAGCAUGAUUUCUUAAUAAUAAACCGAUAGAUCAUUAUUCUUGGUGUAUUAAUUGUUCCAAUCAUGGAAGGUUCGGUGUUUAGAUGCGGCGCGCCAUCUGAACUCCUGUUUUGGUUCGAGUUACUUCGCUGCAAUGCUUGUGCACAGCCGUUGCUUAAGCCAGUUUGGAUUUUUUUUCUCUUGUGUCUAGAUAAAGGAGAAGGACACAGUAUGGUUUGUGCAAUUCUGCGUCCCUUGGUGUAAGCACUGGUAAGCUCUACAUGCCGUAGCGGUGACAUGGAUAUAUCAACUACAAUGCGAGUUUUGACCGCUUGCUGCUAAACAAGGAUGCCUUCUACAUUUACACAGCAAGAGCCUAGGAACUCUUUGGGAGGACCUCGGAAAGGUUAUCGAAGGUACGGAUGAAAUUGAGAUCGGAGAAGUUGAUUGCGGUGCAAGCAAACCAGUCUGCUCAAAGGUGGACAUUCAUUCAUACCCAACAUUCAAGGUGUUCUAUGAUGGCGAAGAAGUUGCAAAAUAUAAAGGUAAUCCCUCUCACAUCUUACUUUUGUUUGACAAGGACAACAUAAACUAGAUACUACUACCAUGAAAACCAUGUUGGAAUCUAUUGCAUGUGGUUCAAUACUCUUGGAAUGGCGAUAGAUUUUAGAAACCAAAACCACGCUGUUGACUUGUAUUGUGAGAGUAGGGCAUGACUCUUAAAAGAUUAAAACCUCUGAACUUGAACCAAAAGGUUGGAAAAGAUUACAUUUUAGGCGCGAUUUUCGUAUAUAGCAGGAUCCGCUAAUGCGGAAAAUUUAGAAUUUCUUUUUUGGACCAGCCAUGACUUGGAUGUUACUGAUAUACUCCUCCUCCAUUCACAAAUAUAAGAUAUUCUAACUUUUGUCUGAAUUGGAUGUAUAUAGACACGUUUUAGUGUGUUUGUUACACUCAUUUCAGUCCGUAUGUGGUCCAUAUUGAAAUAUCCAAAACAUCUUAUAUUUGUAAUCGGAGGGAGUAUCAGCUAGUUCUUAACAGCAGAGGUGACGAUAUUUCAUAACUAAAUAAACAACAUGAGGGAGGAAAACUUUGUGUACAACUUUGUUCACAUAUCAUUUUAUUUUAUUUUUUGCUUUUAUUGAUCAUGAAUGCGUGCUUUUUCAAUAUUCUAUUAGAUGGAUAUGUCAUCAUGUUGCUCCACCUGUUGGAUUUGCUGUGGUACUUUGUUCAUGAAAAUGCUAUUCUAUAGCGAGUCUCCACUUUCAACCAUCAAUUCAUAAUCAUGGACCGUAUCAUGUCCCUGAAGUUGAUUUAAUCUAACAGUUACAGUUUUCUUGUACUGUCAUUCGGCAUCACCGCUCAAAAGAUCAUAUGCAGUUUGGCAAUAAAUUUUUUGCUGCAUUUUCUUUGUAUACACGCAGUUUGUCCCAUUAUGUAUGAUUCUUUGUUUUGAAAAUAUUCGUCUAGUAAGUGCUCAAUGCCUAAUCCAACUACUCAAUGACAUUGCAGGGCCUAGGGACGUAGAGUCUCUCAAGACCUUUGUGUUGAACGAAGCUGAGAAAGCAGGAGAGGUGAGGCUUGAAGAUGAGCUAUAGGUGUUCGUAGCAGGCACAUGCCGAUAGACGAUGAUACUCUGGUCAAGCAACUUUGGAAUGCUGCUCGACCUGUUUAAAUUUUUCGACCGAGUUGGCUUGUACUGCCGCCUCCUGGCGCUUGUCGCUAACUUAGAAUGCAAGAAGAAAACAUUUUUGUAACUUUUAACCUUUUCAACUCAGUUAGAUGAACCUGCUCUGUGCAAACAGUUUUCGAAAAGCUAUUUUGCGGGCUUGGGCCUAAUUUUGAUGUAUACAAGAUACAACAUGUCUAUUCAGUGACCUAAAGACAAAGACUAGAAAUUUCACUGGACUAAGCAAAACAGAAAAAAUGCUUAAUUCGAAUUGCUGAACUCGACAUAACACUUUCGAACGGUCUUAUACAGUAUUCCCUAUAAGAAUGUUUAGAUCACUUGCAGUAAUCUAAAAGCUCUUAUAUUUUUUUCCGGCUUGGUGCUGCGCUACUCCGCUCCACAUUUCACCAGCAGGUCUGUACAUGGAGCCCCCCAACCCUAACACCGAUCUCAUUUGCAUGUGACUUUACGAAGUGUCCCUAUACAUCUUUUUCUAAAUUGAAAUACGAAAACGUCUUUGCACUCUAUUUUCCUCCGUUGUACUGGGUGUAUGCUAAUUAUUUUGCACCCUUUAUUUGCGCAUUAGUUCUGAUUUGAUUGUAAUGAACUGCAUUUUACUACAUGGCUUAUCUUUUGGCUUGAAAACAGAUCAAAGCCUAUGAUUUUUUGCCAAAAUUUUCGUAGUUACAAUCCAAGCAAGCCCCAACAUUUUGGUCAUGCCUCUAUUGGCCGAACAUAUUUUGGUAGGCCUAGAUGGGGAUCAAUCCAAACAGAUCUUAGAAUGAAAACAACCUGCUAUUAUCACGACAAAAUACCACCAAAGGCUUCAACGAGAAACAGCAGCCAAGACUAAAAGUAGCAGCCUAACAUUCCAAAGCAGAGGAUAAAAAUGAGUAGUCUCAGAAGCUUCCAUGUUUUGCCAAAAGCCGAAAUUAACACGACAGUACUCAAAUGACACAUCAACAGGGCGCAUAUCACACGGCGCUAACAGUAGCAAAACUUAAUAGGCACUAAACUACUACAGAUCUCAAAAGCAGACAUAGAUGGAUUCAGGUAAACGCCUCAUUUCUUCUUGAUGGCAGCCUUGGUCACCUUGGCGCCGGUUGGGUCCUUCUUCUCCACACCCUUGAUGACACCAACAGCCACAGUUUGCCUCAUGUCCCGGACAGCAAAACGACCAAGAGGAGGGUAAGUAGCAAAG